AUUGCCUUAGUAACGGCGAGUGAAGCGGCAAAAGCUCAGAUUUGAAAUCUGGUGUCAUUUUGGCAUCCGAGUUGUAGUCUGUAGAGGUGUAUUCGAGUGUAGCUUUGGCUUAAGUUCCUUGGAACAGGACGUCAUAGAGGGUGAGAACCCCGUUAACGGCCUUUGUCUUAUGCUCAUGUGAAUCUCCUUCAACGAGUCGAGUUGUUUGGGAAUGCAGCUCUAAAUGGGUGGUAAAUUCCAUCUAAAGCUAAAUACUGGCAAGAGACCGAUAGCGCACAAGUAGAGUGAUCGAAAGAUGAAAAGAACUCUGAACAGAGAGUUAAAUAGUACGUGAAAUUGUUGAAAGGGAAGCACUUGCAACCAGACGCACUUGCAGCCGAUCAAUUCUCAUUUUUGAGGGUGCACUCGGUUGUCUGUGGGUCAGCAUCAGUUAUGGUGGUAGGAAAAAGACUUGGGGAAUGUAGCUUCUUUCGGGGAGUGUUAUAGCCUUUUGUGCAAUGCUGCCUGCUGUGACUGAGGACCGCGCUUUGGCGAGGAUGCUGACAUAAUGGUUGUAAGUGACCCGUCUUGAAACACGGACCAAGGAGUCUAACAUCUAUGCGAGUGUUUGGGUGUGCAAACCCUUAUGCGAAAUGAAAGUAAAUGGAGGUGGGAACCGCAAGGUGCACCAUCGACCGAUCCUGAUGUUUUCGGAUGGAUUUGAGUAGGAGCAUAGCUGUUGGGACCCGAAAGAUGGUGAACUAUGCCUGAAUAGGGUGAAGCCAGAGGAAACUCUGGUGGAGGCUCGCAGCGGUUCUGACGUGCAAAUCGAUCGUCAAAUUUGGGUAUAGGGGCGAAAGACUAAUCGAACCAUCUAGUAGCUGGUUCCGG
rnacentral:rRNA from 1 species